rnacentral:rRNA from 1 species
AUUGAACGCUGGCGGCAUGCUUUACACAUGCAAGUCGAACGGCAGCGCGGGCUUCGGCCUGGCGGCGAGUGGCGAACGGGUGAGUAAUACAUCGGAACGUGCCCAGUAGUGGGGGAUAGCUCGGCGAAAGCCGGAUUAAUACCGCAUGCGACCUGAGGGUGAAAGCGGGGGAUCUUCGGACCUCGCGCUAUUGGAGCGGCCGAUGGCAGAUUAGCUAGUUGGUGGGGUAAAGGCCUACCAAGGCGACGAUCUGUAGCUGGUCUGAGAGGACGACCAGCCACACUGGGACUGAGACACGGCCCAGACUCCUACGGGAGGCAGCAGUGGGGAAUUUUGGACAAUGGGCGAAAGCCUGAUCCAGCAAUGCCGCGUGUGUGAUGAAGGCCUUCGGGUUGUAAAGCACCUUUGGCGGGAACGAAAAGGACUGUGCAAAUACCACGGUUCGAUGACGGUACCCGCAGAAUAAGCACCGGCUAACUACGUG